UGCAGUUCUACACGUUACCCUGAGUCCUUUUCCUUUUGAAGUUAGUGAAGUAUGUAAAUUGGCAGUUGUCUGAGGCAGCGACUAUUAAAGCGUUGCCACAGCAAGGCCUCCCACCCCAGUGAGUAACCUGCUUGUGGACAGCCUGACAGAAAACACCUCGCUACUUAAUCAUUACUGACAUUUGGAAGCAGCAGGGCUUUUAAUUAAUAGUUAUGUUGAUGAUGCAUGAAUCUCAAAAAUUAGUUUUGCUUUCCACUUAAUUAGCUACAUAAAAGUAAUGAUUAGGGACAAUAGAGAUACAUGCCCCUGAAUUGCAGAAGAGGAAGGAAGCUCCACAGUCCUUUUUCAGAAAAUAAACUACUGUGUUAAAAACAAGUUAGUAAGCUCUGUAGGCAAUGUAAAUACUGAUUUUGUCUGCUUCUGCUGAUUUUGUCCCUCUUAAACGUUCUUCAGUGAAGUACCUGUGCCUUGGACCAUGACACUGACAAGCUGACCCAACAAACGUCCCGACUUCCAAGGCGUCUAGAAAGCUGUCCAGUGAGUUUGCCUCAUAAUCUCCUAGAACACGUGCAGGAAGUCCUAAUCAUUGGGAAUUUUGCUUGAAUAAGGCAUAUAGCUUCCAAGGAGAAUCCACAGCCAAUUGCAAGGCUGGAGGGAAGAGUCAGAGGCUGGUGAGGCUGGUUAAAGGAAUUUCUUAAAGACUGAAGUGACAACAUGCAACCCGCAAACCUAAAGCUUUGCAGGUGUUUUCAUUAUUUCUUUUUGUUUUAAAAGUUGAGUAGAGUAGUCCACAAAGAUGUCAUGUGCUGCCAGUGAAUGUAGAACCAACUUGUUUGAGAGGAAGCAGUACACUUGCCCUGAGAGUCGCUUGACAGAAAGUGAUGUCAGUGCAGUAAUUACCAGGGCUGGCCCUGGUACCUCUGCAGCUCAUGCAGGAGGAACCUUUGAACUGCUUCACUGAAGGAGAAAUAAACCACCCUCAUUCCAAGCAACUGGUCACUGUUGUUCAAAAGAAAACUUUUAAACUAUUGAAUAGGAAAAUAUAUAGCUUGUUUUUUAAUAUAAAAUGCUAUAGUAUUUUUUCCAUUUACCAUUUGUAAACAACGCUCUGAAGAAAAACCUGCUGCUGUCCUUUUUAUAUGUGACUAUUCUCCGUGGAAGCAAACUGGUACAUCUGGUGCAUGUCUCCUUUGAAAGUUACACUGGAUAACCUGACAAGUAAGUUUGUUCAGCACCCAGAAGGCCUGUAUACGUGAGCAUUGAAUUUGCUGAAUUGUGAAACUUGUGGACUUGCUGCAUGGUAAGUCUGGCACAUCCAGUGAGUCAGAGAUGUCCAGCCCAACACUCCGUGCACGCACGUGGAGCACGGUAUGGCCGGAACGUUCCUAACUUGUGCAUAGCAGAGCAUAGUACACGGACCACAGGACUGGGUCUGCCCCAAAUACCUUGAAUCUGAAGUUUCCUGCUUUCAGUGGGGAAGCUCUUGUUUCUGCUGAGGUGUAAUUUCCACUUAGAAAAAGAGGACAUCUCCACAGGAACUCCAGAUGUGUAAUAUCCAUAAUUCAGCAAAUGAACAAAUGCUGAAUUUCUUUGAGAAGAGCUUUAAGAAGUUCCAAUAGAAUUAUUAUAGCAAAAUGUGCAUGAACAACAAAAUAAACAUGCAACGCUGGAAAGAAAUCAAGCUGUUGUAAUUAGUGAAUAUCCAAUUCCAGAAAAAAAUGCAUUUAUACAGUGUAUUUGUUGCAAUUCACAAAGAGACUUUUCAAACUCAUUUAUAAUGUUUGCAUGAUAUGUUUUUGUGGUGCAACUUCCACCUUCACAUUUUUUCAUAUAUAUUAGAUAGACUAUUAGGUUUAUUUUUGCAUUUUUUUCUGAAUUUAUUUUUAAUUAUCUCUGGGUUUUAUAUUUUUUUCCCUAAUAUUUGUAGACAUUUGAGUAAGUCGAUCAGAGCAAGUGUUGCAUGUCUGUAAAAAUAUAUCUGGUGUUGACUAGUGUUGGUGUGAAAAAGAUACCUAAAAAAAUUCUCCACGUGAUCUGAAAGACAAGCUUUAGUUCUGUGUUUUUGGAUGUAAAAAUAGUUUUUCUUCUCUUUUAAAUCUUUCUUACCAGGACUGCUGUUUAGAUAAUAGGUUUGCAAGUUGCAGGGCAGAAUGUGAUCUCCUUCGAAUGACUAGAAUUGUGUGGAGGCUUGCAUGAAAUAAUGUGCAGAUCAAGGCUUUAGAGAGGGGCAAAAUCACUAGACCUGCUGAUAUCAACAGAAACUAAGAAUUAAACUCUAGGUAAGAAGUUGGUAAGAGUGCCAAUAAAAAAAAAUAAAUAAAUUACAGUAUUAACAAUUAGCACUUCUAAAAGCAGGGUCUUUAUUUUACUGAUAAUAUCUUUUAGCAAGGGAGAAUAGUUCAUUCUGAGGCUCCUGAGCAGACAAAUAUCUUUAAUUUCUUAAUAAUUUUCACUUUAAUAUCUACCCCAAAAUAUGAAAUUUUGAAGUUUUGGUAUUUAAGAGAGAACAAUGUAAAAAUCAUGUUGUGCUCUGAAAAAUAUGUAGUUGUUGCAAAUAUUAAUGAGUACUGUAUUUGGGAACUGUGUGGGAAACGAUUUCAUUUUCUUACUCAAGAUUUUUCAAAUGGCUUUCAACAGUAUUUAGACAUAUAUGAUGUGAGUGUGCAGGAGGUUUCAUUGUUUCUUUGUGCCACUAAGUAAUUUUCCUUCCUUGUUUCCUCAAGACUUUCACAGAGCAGCAAAGGAGGGAAAAAUCACUAAAAGUGAUAGAUAAUUUUUUGUAAAAUCUUGAAAAUUGACAGAGACAUUCAUAGCAAACUAUAUUGUCUGAGGAAACUACAUAACCUUUUCAAAUUAACAUAUCUGACAUUAAAAUAUCUUAAUAAACCAUUCUUUCUGCACCGUGGUGCAUUCUGAAGGAGGCAUAGUUGAAUGCUGUGCAGCUGCUGUGGCGUGUGCCAAAGUUUAGACUGAUCUAAGCAAGGCUUGGAAGCUGUCUUUAGCAUACAGAUGAGUGAUGCACUCCCGAGUGUGCAUUCUGUCGUGUUACCUGAUGUGCUGCUUCUGAAAAUCUGAUGCUGACGCGUAAACCAAAAAAACCUAGAGUCAACGUAUGCUAUUUUGUUCACUAUUUAAAUUAUGCUAAUUUUUAAUUGACAGUCUGAAUAAAAAGACAUUGCUUUCUG